rnacentral:rRNA from 1 species
UGCCAGACUCCUACGGGAGGCAGCAGUGGGGAAUAUUGCACAAUGGGGGAAACCCUGAUGCAGCGACGCCGCGUGAGUGAAGAAGUAUUUCGGUAUGUAAAGCUCUAUCAGCAGGGAAGAAGAAGGACGGUACCUGAGUAAGAAGCCCCGGCUAACUACGUGCCAGCAGCCGCGGUAAUACGUAGGGGGCAAGCGUUAUCCGGAUUUACUGGGUGUAAAGGGAGCGUAGACGGCGAUGCAAGUCUGAAGUGAAAGGCGGGGGCCCAACCUCCGGACUGCUUUGGAAACUGUAUGGCUGGAGUGCAGGAGAGGUAAGUGGAAUUCCUAGUGUAGCGGUGAAAUGCGUAGAUAUUAGGAGGAACACCAGUGGCGAAGGCGCCUUACUGGACCGAAACUGACGUUGAGGCUCGAAAGCGUGGGGAGCAAACAGGAUUAGAUACCCCAGUA